CCUACGGGUGGCAGCAGUGAGGAAUAUUGGUCAAUGGACGAGAGUCUGAACCAGCCAAGUAGCGUGAAGGAUGACUGCCCUAUGGGUUGUAAACUUCUUUUAUAUGGGAAUAAAAUGUUCCACGUGUGGCUUUUUGUAUGUACUAUAUGAAUAAGGAUCGGCUAACUCCGUGCCAGCAGCCGCGGUAAUACGGAGGAUCCGAGCGUUAUCCGGAUUUAUUGGGUUUAAAGGGAGCGUAGGUGGGUUGUUAAGUCAGUUGUGAAAGUUUGCGGCUCAACCGUAAAAUUGCAGUUGAAACUGGCAGUCUUGAGUACAGUAGAGGUGGGCGGAAUUCGUGGUGUAGCGGUGAAAUGCUUAGAUAUCACGAAGAACUCCGAUUGCGAAGGCAGCUCACUAGACUGCAACUGACACUGAGGCUCGAAAGUGUGGGUAUCAAACAGGAUUAGAUACCCUUGUAGUC
rnacentral:rRNA from 1 species